rnacentral:lncRNA from 1 species
CUCUAUGGUCAUGCGUUUCGCUGCAAUGGCAUACCCGAUGACAAAUAAACAACUGAUUCAAAUGCAACAUAACUGAACAACACCAAUUACGCCAAGCACAGAAUGAUCAUUUUUGCUAACCUUGCCUACGGAGAUACCGUGCCAUGUUCCCCGUAUUCAUCACUGUCGGAAGAUUCCAUCCCUGACUCCUCCUGAAGUAUCUUCUUCCCACGCUCUUCAGCGGUGCUACGCCGACCAAUUAUUGGACCAGCCCUGGCUGAUGGUCUUUCAUUUACUGAUGCGCACAAUUUCCUCUUUCACGAGCUUCAGAUCUCAC